rnacentral:rRNA from 1 species
CAGGCCUAACACAUGCAAGUCGAACGAGACCUUCGGGUCUAGUGGCGCACGGGUGAGUAACGCGUGGGAAUCUACCCAGUCCUUCGGAAUAACACAGGGAAACUUGUGCUAAUACCGGAUACGCCCUACGGGGGAAAGAUUUAUCGGGAUUGGAUGAGCCCGCGUUGGAUUAGCUAGUUGGUGGGGUAAUGGCCUACCAAGGCGACGAUCCAUAGCUGGUCUGAGAGGAUGAUCAGCCACACUGGGACUGAGACACGGCCCAGACUCCUACGGGAGGCAGCAGUGGGGAAUAUUGGACAAUGGGCGAAAGCCUGAUCCAGCCAUACCGCGUGAGUGAUGAAGGCCUUAGGGUUGUAAAGCUCUUUCAGUGGGGAAGAUAAUGACGGUAUCCACAGAAGAAGCCCCGGCUAACUUCGUGCCAGCAGCCGCGGUAAU